UGGGGAAUAUUGCGCAAUGGGGGAAACCCUGACGCAGCAACGCCGCGUGAGCGAUGAAGGUUUUCGGAUUGUAAAGCUCUGUCUUUGGGGAAGAUAAUGACGGUACCCAAGGAGGAAGCCCCGGCUAACUACGUGCC
rnacentral:rRNA from 1 species